UCCACGCCGUAAACGAUGUCGACUUGGAGGUUGUGCCCUUGAGGCGUGGCUUCCGGAGCUAACGCGUUAAGCCGACCGCCUGGGGAGUACGGCCGCAAGGUUAAAACUCAAAUGAAUUGACGGGGGCCCGCACAAGCGGUGGAGCAUGUGGUUUAAUUCGAUGCAACGCGAAGAACCUUACCUGGUCUUGACAUCCACAGAACUUUCCAGAGAUGGAUUGGUGCCUUCGGGAACUGUGAGACAGGUGCUGCAUGGCUGUCGUCAGCUCGUGUUGUGAAAUGUUGGGUUAAGUCCCGCAACGAGCGCAACCCUUAUCCUUUGUUGCCAGCGGUCCGGCCGGGGACUCAAAGGAGACUGCCAGUGAUAAACUGGAGGAAGGUGGGGAUGACGUCAAGUCAUCAUGGCCCUUACGACCAGGGCUACACACGUGCUACAAUGGCGCAUACAAAGAGAAGCGACCUCGCGAGAGCAAGCGGACCUCAUAAAGUGCGUCGUAGUCCGGAUUGGAGUCUGCAACUCGACUCCAUGAAGUCGGAAUCGCUAGUAAUCGUGGAUCAGAAUGCCACGGUGAAUACGUUCCCGGGCCUUGUACACACCGCCCGUCACACCAUGGGAGUGGGUUGCAAGAGAAGUAGGUAGCUUAACCUUCGGGAGGGCGCUUACCACUUUGUGAUUCAUGACUGGG
rnacentral:rRNA from 1 species